GCCAGUAUGGUGUAGUGGUUUGAGUGCUGGAUUAUGAUUCUGGAAACCAGGCUUCGAAUCCCCGCUCAGCCA